rnacentral:rRNA from 1 species
ACGCUGGCGGCGUGCCUAAUACAUGCAAGUCGAGCGAAUGGAUUAAGAGCUUGCUCUUAUGAAGUUAGCGGCGGACGGGUGAGUAACACGUGGGUAACCUACCCAUAAGACUGGGAUAACUCCGGGAAACCGGGGCUAAUACCGGAUAAUAUUUUGAACUGCAUAGUUCGAAAUUGAAAGGCGGCUUCGGCUGUCACUUAUGGAUGGACCCGCGUCGCAUUAGCUAGUUGGUGAGGUAACGGCUCACCAAGGCGACGAUGCGUAGCCGACCUGAGAGGGUGAUCGGCCACACUGGGACUGAGACACGGCCCAGACUCCUACGGGAGGCAGCAGUAGGGAAUCUUCCGCAAUGGACGAAAGUCUGACGGAGCAACGCCGCGUGAGUGAUGAAGGCUUUCGGGUCGUAAAACUCUGUUGUUAGGGAAGAACAAGUGCUAGUUGAAUAAGCUGGCACCU